UACGUAGGGGGCUAGCGUUGUCCGGAAUCAUUGGGCGUAAAGCGCGUGUAGGCGGCCCGGUAAGUCCGCUGUGAAAGUCGGGGGCUCAACCCUCGGAAGCCGGUGGAUACUGUCGGGCUCGAGUACGGAAGAGGCGAGUGGAAUUCCUGGUGUAGCGGUGAAAUGCGCAGAUAUCAGGAGGAACACCUAUGGCGAAGGCAGCUCGCUGGGACGUUACUGACGCUGAGACGCGAAAGCGUGGGGAGCAAACAGG
rnacentral:rRNA from 1 species